UCUCUGAUGCUCUGCCUUGCAAAUAAGUAUGUAAGUAAAUAAAGAAAUCUCCAAGUAAAAAUAAAGAAUAUGGAAGGCCAUAUAUUUAUAAUAUAUAUGCAAAUACUAUGCCAUUUUAUAGAAGAGCCUUGAACAUCCCUGAAUGUUGAUAGCACUGAGAGUCUGGAGCCAUUUCUUCAUAGAUAUUUAUUUUUAAAUAUCAAAAGAGUUCAAAACACCAAGUUCUUGAAUAGGAGACACAACAUCAUUAAGAUGUCAAUUGUCCCUAAAAUGACCCACACAACCAACAUAAUUGCAAUAAAAAUAUCAGUAGUAUUUUCGUGUGUGUGUGUGUGUGAAAUAGACAAGCUAUUUGUAUCGAAAAGCAAAUGUCAAGACCAUGUAGGAGGACUGGGCAUUGUGGUGCAGUGGUUAAGUCACUGCUCAGGACACCCGCAUUCCCUAUCACACUGCCUGGGACCAAGUCCCAGUUCCACUUCUAUUCCAGCUUCCUGCCAAUCAUCUGGAACAGGGGCUGCAGGAGAGGGCUCGAGUCCUUGAGUCCCUACCACCCACAUGCAGGACCUGGAUGGAGUUCCUGGCUCUUGGAUUUGGCCUGGCCCAGCCUUGGCUGGCAAUUGGGGAGUGAACAAGUGGCUCUCUCUCUCUUGCAAAUACAUAAAAAUGGCUAAAUAUUUAAAAAGAACUAAUUAGGAAAAAUCUAAAAAUAAAAAAAGUAAUGAGCAAAUAGGCUUAGCCAGAAAUGUAAGACUAGUCAGCCAGAAAAAUUAAUUCACAUUUUUUAAAAAUAGAAUGAAUGCUUUUGAUGUUCCCAGCCCAGCAGGGGCCGCUGUGCGCCACAAGGGCGGGAGCUGUGCCGAAGCCAGGAGCCGGGAGCUUCUUCUGGGUCUCCCAUGUGGGUGCAGGGGCCCAAGCACUUAGGCCAUCUUCUGCUGCUUUCCCAGGCCAUAGCAGAGAGCUGGAUGGGAACUGGAGUAGCCAAGACUUGAACCAGCACCCAUAUGGGAUGCCGGCACUGCAGACAGCGGCUUUACCCGUUAUGCCAUGGCAGCGGCCCCUAAACCUUGAUUCUUAGGCCCCCAAGUAAGCUUAACUUUUGAUUCCAUUUCCCACAAGCUUUGUGAAGUCCCCUCAUCUGUUAUUCGCUUAUGGUUUAUGUAAGGGACAUCUCGGGCAAAGCACACGGGCGAUGGCACCUGCCGCGGCCUUCAGGGAAGGUAACCGAGGAAAGGAGGUGCCCCGUUCUCUGCACGCCCGCUGCACAUUUUGUUCUGUGUGCACAUGUUUUCAAGAAGAAAUGACUUUAUAAAGGAAAGAGUACAAGCUGCACUCUUUUGGUCUCCUUGGUGACAUGCCCCUAGGAAAAGACGCCGUGUGCCCUUGUACAGCCAGAAGAUUAGGAUCUCAACUGCUGUUUGUUCCAAAUCUGUGUUCUCUCUUUGGGCAGCUCAGGAAGAAAACAAGACGACAGCAACCAGACACAGCCCAGGGGCGCUUUCCAGGUUCAGAGCCCCGCUCCCCGCCCCAUGGGAGGGCACUGGUGUGUGGACACGUCACAGGACAAACCUCAGCCCCUGCGUAGACCAACGGUGCUCCAUAAAUGCCUCCCAUGGGAUAUUGUUUGUUUGUGGCUAAUUCAUUUUGCUAACGCGGGACACAGGGAAACCAGUGGCUUUUUAAAAAAUUAUUAUAAUUUCAAGAAUCAGUGAACGACUUAAUUACUUUUAGAUGCAGGAAGAAAAGACCUAAAAAUAACUGUACAAACCGCACGUGAUAGAGCCCAGGACGAACGGAUUAAAUGACAUAUAAUUAGUCACUCAUAAGCAGCAGCGCGACCAUCAGGAAUUUUGUACCACUGUUGAUGGAGUGGUUUGAGACCCUCUAGCAAAGAAGUAGGGAAAUUCUGUAAUUAUUAAAAGAGGAAACAGCAAAUCAACCCAACAAGGGCACCAUUAAGGUUGUGUUUCCACAGAGUCAACAUUGCAAAGUCUGGACACAACGUCAGAAAAUCAGAAUGGUUCUAGAAGAGAAGUUCUCACUUUUCAUCCUGCAAAAGGCCAGAUACCACCUGCUAAUGCGCCUGGGAAUGCAGCAGAAGAUGGCCCAAGUGCUUGCACCCCUGUACCCAUGUAGAAGACUUGGAUGAAGCUCCCAGCUUCAGCCUGGCCCAGCUCUGACCAUGAUAGCCAUCUGGGGAGUGAACCAGUGGAUGGAAGAUCUCUCUCUCUCUCUCUCUCUCUC